GAACCAUGUGGUUGGGAAGCAAGCCUCUUACCACACAGCCAUGCCUAACUUAUAUAUAUAUGUGUAUAUAUAUAUAUAUGAUAUAUAUACAUUUAUAUAUGUGUGCAUAUGUGUAGAUCUCUGUGAAUCUUUGCACUCUGCACUUUUGGUUGAAAAAGUGCAAUGCUUAAAAAUGAUGCAUGUUUACAGAUAGAAAGAAAAAUAUUCACAAACUUUGCAGAAAAUUAAAUAUUCUACUGGAAAAACAGGUAAGGGAUAGCAAUGAAAAAAACAUUUGGCUGCAAAAUAAUAUCUCAAAAAAUGUAUUUGUUUCAUCCACACCAGCAUGAGAAAACAGAUUUAAAAGAAAUAAAUAAAUAUUCAGGCAAAGAUGUGGCUGCUUUGAUAUAGAAUUCACGUGGUAACCACACAGUCUUGAAUUCUAUCUGCAUAGUACCUUGGGCAGGUCUUCUACUCUAACCUUUAGCCAACUAAUGCCCUAUGAGUGAAAUUGGUAGAGAGAAACUGUAUAAAGCCCUGUUGUUAUGUGUAUGUGUGUGUGUGCAUGUGUGCAUUUUGUAUAUGUAUUUGUGUGUGAGUGCUUGUGUACAUAUAUAUAUAUACAUACACACACAUACAUAAAUACACUCACACAUGCAUAUAUAUAUAAAUAUAUAUAUGUAUAUACAAAAGUCAUUCUAGUUUCAUCAAAAAGGAAUGUUUUUUAUAUUUUUGAGGUCCCAAAUGUACAAUGCGAGUGGAGUAGAUCUUCAUCUGGCAUAUCUAAAAGAAAAGGUGUGUCAGUCAUACCUGAUUUUGAAUAGAUUAGCAUGUGUUUGCUUAGUUGGCAUUUAUAUUUUACCCUGAUAUACUGUAUCUUUACGUAAGUAGUUUGAAUGUAAAGGGUGUAAAGAGAGGUUGAUAUAUUUGCAAUUAUUAGGAGUAGAACUGGGUCACUUUUGUUAAGUUUAGAAAGGUUAAAAGAUUGGUUGAAGUUGGGAGUUAAGAAUAUGUAAGAUUUUUAUAGUUCUCUUAUUGGAUGUCUUAUAAUAUGUAUGUUGCAGUGGGAAGUGUCUUUUACAUAUCUAUAUACAUACAUAUGUGUGUGUAUGCACAUUUUGUGUGUGUGUGUGUGUGUUGUGUUUGUCUGUAU